CAUGGCUAGGGCUGUAAACAAUCAGAGUUCUCCACAAAUUGUUCGUGUUCGAACUUGUCCGUUCCUGCUCGUCGAUAAGUAAAAGAGUUGAGUGCAAAAGCACUACCGAUGGAGGUCGCGACCGUAGCAGCAUCGACCUUCGCGCUCCGGACGCGUAUGGUAGCCCCUCCGCUCUCACCUAUGCGAACCCCUAACCGAAACCCAACCCGAGCUUCAUCUUAUUCUUCUUCCUCUAUCCAAUCCUCUCUCUCUUCCAGCUUCUUCUCUCCCUUCUCUGGCGGCACCAUCUCCAGCGAUUUCUCCGGCUUCAAGCUCCGCCAACAGUCAUCGAAGCCCAAGCGAAGCGUCAUCACCAUGGUUAUUCCUUUCCAGAAGGGAAGUGCAUUGGAGCAACCUCCUCCAGACUUGGCAUCUUACUUGUACAAGAAUCGAAUUGUUUACUUGGGCAUGUCUCUUGUUCCAUCAGUCACUGAGUUGAUUCUGGCAGAAUUUCUCUACCUGCAGUAUGAAGAUGCUGAGAAACCUAUUUACUUAUACAUAAACUCUACUGGAACAACCAAGGAUGGAGAGAAAUUGGGUUACGAGACAGAGGCCUUUGCCCUUUAUGAUGUUAUGGGGUAUGUUGAGCCCCCAAUAUUUACCCUUUGUGUUGGCAAUGCUUGGGGUGAAGCAGCCUUACUUUUGGCUGCUGGCGCAAAGGGAAACCGUUCUGCUUUGCCCUCAUCGACUAUCAUGAUAAAGCAGCCAAUUGCAAGGUUUCAAGGUCAAGCAACAGAUAUUGAGCUUGCAAGAAAAGAAGUAAAUAAUGUGAAGGCGGAAUUGGUUAAACUCUACGCCAAGCAUAUUGGAAAAUCACCUGAGCAGAUUGAAGCUGACAUUAGGCGCCCAAAAUAUUUUAGUCCCAGCGAGGCGGUUGAAUAUGGCAUCAUAGAUAAGGUGCUGUACAACGAAAGAAGCUCUGAAGACCGCGGAGUUGUAUCUGACCUGAAGAAAGCUCAGCUGAUUUGACUGUCUUGAUCUUGGACUGAUGAUUGCAAGGAAUAUGAGGUAAAACAAACCCUUGGUUAAAUUAUUGUUGGGCGGGUCAUCGAAGAUUUACUCAAAAGGAGGUCAGGCAAGAUGUGAAGCCAAAAGGUUGUCUUGAAUGAGUGUUUUAGGCGCACAAAUGUGAAUGAAUGCUCAAAGGUUUCUUGGCUGAAACAUGUAACAAUAUUGGAAGGAGGCUGCAGUACAUUACAUAUUAAUAAGAUAUAUGUUGGGUUUAUACUUAUAUGCCUGUUAUGCGUA